rnacentral:pre_miRNA from 1 species
CAGGGUGACCAACCAUCCUGUUUUGCCUGAGACUGAGGGAAUUCCUAGGAUUUCCCCAGAACUUUCCAUUUUAAAACCAGAACAGUCCCAGGCAAAUCGGAAGAGUUGGUCACCCUACAGGAGA